rfam:Triticum aestivum genome assembly, contig: Triticum_aestivum_CS42_TGACv1_scaffold_289179_4AL
AACAUACUCCCUCUGUUCCGAAUUACUUGUCGCAAGUAUGGAUGUAUCUAGAUGUAUUUUAGUUCUAGAUACAUUCAUUUCUACGAUGAGUAAUUUGAAACGAAGAGAGUAAUAA